rnacentral:rRNA from 1 species
UACGGAGGGUGCAAGCGUUAUCCGGAUUCACUGGGUUUAAAGGGUGCGUAGGCGGGUUGGUAAGUCCGUGGUGAAAUCCCCAAGCUUAACUUGGGAACUGCCGUGGAUACUAUCAAUCUUGAAUAUCGUGGAGGUAAGCGGAAUAUGUCAUGUAGCGGUGAAAUGCAUAGAUAUGACAUAGAACACCAAUUGCGAAGGCAGCUGGCUACACAAAUAUUGACGCUGAGGCACGAAAGCGUGGGGAUCAAACAGG